rnacentral:rRNA from 1 species
ACGCCGGGAGUCACAAACAAUACGGUGCUGUAGGAUGAGGCUGCGGCCGAUUAGGUAGACGGUGGGGUAACGGCCCACCGUGCCCAUAAUCGGUACGGGUUGUGAGAGCAAGAGCCCGGAGACGGAAUCUGAGACAAGAUUCCGGGCCCUACGGGGCGCAGCAGGCGCGAAACCUUUACACUGCACGCCAGUGCGAUAAGGGGACUCCGAGUGCGAGGGCAUAUCGUCCUCGCUUUUGUG